UACGUAAGUGGCGAGCGUUAUCCGGAAUCAUUGGGCGUAAAGAGCGUGUAGGCGGUUCGGUAAGUCGGCUGUGAAAGUCCAGGGCUCAACCCUGGGAUGCCGGUCGAUACUGCCGGACUAGAGUUCGGAAGAGGCGAGUGGAAUUCCCGGUGUAGCGGUGAAAUGCGCAGAUAUCGGGAGGAACACCAGUGGCGAAGGCGACUUCCUGGCCUGUUCUUGACGCUGAGGCGCGAAAGCUAGGGGAGCAAACGGGG
rnacentral:rRNA from 1 species